UCUGUCAGAGCUCCAGCAUUCUUCUGUGAUGAGAGAAGAAUCUUCCAGUAGGACAACAAUCUCCGCAGCAAUCCACCAAUCAGGCCUGUAUGAUAGAGUGACCAGAUGGAAGCAACUCCUUAGUAAAAGGCACAUGGCAGCCCCCCUGGAGUUUGCUAAAGGCACCUGAAGGACUCUCAGACCAUGAGAAACAAAAUUCUCUGGUUUGAUGAAACAAAGACUGAAGUCAUUGGCGUGAAUCCCAGGUGUCAUGCUCCCUGGGAUGAUCAGUCU